rnacentral:lncRNA from 1 species
UGCGGGGUUGGCAAUCGUGAGGAAAUUGUAUAAUGCUCCGAAGUUUUUUAAGCCGAAUAGUUCGGAGGCGGCGGCGGGGACGAUGGCCCAAUGGGCACCGUAGCCGAGCCCGAUAAGUAGCGUUCCUAUGUACAUUGUGCCNUUAUUUUUACUUUUUCCUUUUUUUUUUUUUUUUUUCUCUCUGGGGGCCCGAAAAAAAAGGGAGGGAGAGGGACGUUAUAGACUAGGACCUAGGGAGUACUAGGACACGUGGCCAAGUCUGAAUGGUCGGUGCCUUUGCGGAGCUUUGAAUGUACCGUAGGGACACGAUAUGACGUAAGUAACCGUUGGGAGGUGGUCCUUCCGAUGGCAAAAUGCCUAAUAGUCCCUGUACUACAAACAAAUUCCAAAAUGAUUCCUGUAGUUUUCGCAGAAAAAUAAUACCAUCCCUACACUAUUUACAAAUUACAACCCAAUCCCUAACGGUGAAAAAUAUUAAUCUUUCUAUCAACUCACUAGUUUAUAUAUAUAAACAUUAUCAAAAGCUAAAUAAUAUUAUUAAAAAAGCUAAUUUUAAAAUUCGCAUAAUGCACUUCGUAAAUUUGGUCACUGAUUAAUGACUACGAAUUGAUUUUGCUCAUAUCGCUUUUAAUACAAAAAUAAUUUGAAAAUAAAAGUUUGGAAAAAAAAAAAGUGUGCAAUGAGUAUAGGGACUGAAUUAGAACGACUGGUUAUUAGAGGUACUACAAUGCAUUUGUUUCCCCUCUCCUUGUUCUUCCUGUGAAUUGUUCACCACACGUGUGAGCUACUGAGGGCUCUCCAACCCAAAAGGCCGAGACACGUGUGACUACGCCAGCUGGCGCGUUUGACUUUGACCAACGGGGAGAGUGGAUUUGAGCUUCAACAUUUGGUCCUCUCCAACAAAUGGUGUUACGCCACGUGGUUUAGAGCGACGUGGCACGUGGUGAUAGGUUGGCAACCGAGUUUGGUGUUGUGGCCCACAGAGCUCGACAAGAAGAGCCUCGAUGUUCCCGCGGAGAUGGUUGGUGGACGGUUCCUGCGCCGUUAAUCGUACCGUUUCACGGCCACGAUGUCUCGCUUCGCAGGAAUCCGCCACGUGGCGCCACCGGACCCGUGUGAUUGUCCCGUGGAAGUUUCUCGAAGCACCGGUUGAACCGGGUUUUGAUUCAAAUAUUCGGUGUCUUAAAAAAAUAUAUUUUUUUAACAGUUAUGAUACAUAUAAAUAUAAUAAUAUAUAGGAUAAACUUCAAAUACCAUCCCUAUAGUUUCACGUUUUCUUACUUUAGUAUCCUCUGGUUUAAAAUAUAUCGUACCCAAUGGUUUUAUUUUUCUUUUUUCGUCAGCUCCUGCGUUAAUAUUUGGUUAAAUUAUAUAUAAAAAAAUUCACAUACUCCACCUAAAUUUAUUGGAUAUUCAUUUUAGUACCCUUUAGGUUUAACUUUACCACUGAUUUAACGAAAAAAAUUAAUACAAUAAAUAAUAAAAAGAGAAAAAUAAAAUCACAUAAUACUAUAUUAAUAUAUGUUAAAACACAUGGUACUAAAAUGAGAGAGUGUGAAACAAAAGGGGUGAUAUUUGAAGUUUUUCCUAAUAAAUAUAUGUAUCAUCAACACAUUCUCUCUCUCUCAAAAAAAAAAAAAAAGAAAAAAAAAAUAGAUUAAAAAGUGCAAUUAAAAGAAUACACAAAUGCAAGGGACUAUGCUUCUUAUAAUAAUAAUACUUCAACAUUGAACUUGUCAUGUAAUUGAAUCAAAUUCUCUUCUUUCUCAAACAUAUACUUUUCAUGUUCAAGCGCGCCCGUACAAGUGCGCGUAAACGACCUUCGUUCGAUAAACGAGAAUGAGGCUCAAAAUGAUCGCGACAAUGCAUAGUCCCGACAUGAUCAACGAACUCGCGAAGAAGCAAAUGGCCCCCUCGCAUUUCAGCGGCUCGUCGGCGAGGUAACUCCGAGGAACAUGAGCUUGUUUCUCCGCUUCGUAGUCGUAUAUGCUGCUCGCUAUAAGACCGGAGAAUAUCAAAGAACCCGCGGGGUUGGCGAUCGUGAGGAAAUUGUAUAAUGCUCCGAAGUUUUUUAAGCCGAAGAGUUCGGAGGCGGCGGCGGGGACGAUGGCCCAAUGAGCACCGUAGCCGAGCCCAAUAAGUAGCGUUCCUAUGUACAUUGUGCCGGGCCAAGCCACGGCGAAGAGAAAGUGCCCUAUCGCCAUUGCGACCUGCGCCACCGCCAUUGCUACGGGCCUCGGAUAUGCAU